rfam:Capsicum annuum cultivar Zunla-1 chromosome 8, whole genome shotgun sequence
ACCUCGUGGUUGGGACAUUGCAUAAGCUUUACAUUAAAUCUCUCUCAUACCUCAUAUAGAGAUUCUCCAUUAAAUUGAUGAAAAUUGGUAAUUUUAUCACGCAAUU